AUCUACGGCCACAUCACCCUGAACAAGCCCAAUCUCGUCUGAUCUCGGAAGCUAAGCAAGGUCAGGUCUGGUUAGUACUUGGAUGGGAGACCACCUAGGAAGAGCAGGUGCUGUAGGCA
rnacentral:rRNA from 1 species